rnacentral:rRNA from 1 species
CGGAACUUCGGGUUUAGUGGCGGACGGGUGAGUAACGCGUGAGAAUCUGCCUCUAGGUCGGGGACAACAAACGGAAACGAUUGCUAAUACCCGAUGUGCAGCAAUGUGAAAGAUUUAUUGCCUAGAGAUGAGCUCGCGUCUGAUUAGCUAGUAGGUGUGGUAAUGGCGCACCUAGGCGACGAUCAGUAACUGGUCUGAGAGGAUGACCAGUCACACUGGGACUGAGACACGGCCCAGACUCCUACGGGAGGCAGCAGUGGGGAAUUUUCCGCAAUGGGCGAAAGCCUGACGGAGCAAUACCGCGUGAGGGACGAAGGCUUUUGGGUCGUAAACCUCUUUUCCCUGAGAAGAAGAUCUGACGGUAUCAGGGGAAUCAGCAUCGG